rnacentral:rRNA from 1 species
GGAAGUAAAAGUCGUAACAAGGUUUCCGUAGGUGAACCUGCGGAAGGAUCAUUAAUGAUUGAACGUCUGUCGAGCUUGCUCACAGGCACAUCAUAUCCAUAACACCUGUGCACUUGUCGGAUGGCUUAGUGAAGACCGCAAGGUUGGAACUAUCCGUCUACUUUACAUAACAAUUCUGUAACAAAUGUAGUCUUAUUAUAACAUAAUAAAACUUUCAACAACGGAUCUCUUGGCUCUCGCAUCGAUGAAGAACGCAGCGAAAUGCGAUAAGUAAUGUGAAUUGCAGAAUUCAGUGAAUCAUCGAAUCUUUGAACGCACCUUGCGCUCCUUGGUAUUCCGAGGAGCAUGCCUGUUUGAGUGUCAUGAAAACCCUCAACCUUAGAUUGGUUAAAACCUUUCUUUGGCUUGGAUUUGGACGUUUGCCGAUGAUAAGUCGGCUCGUCUUAAAAGUAAUAGCUGGAUCUGUCUCGCGACAUGGUUUGACUUGGCGUAAUAAGUAUUUCGCUAAGGACAUCUUCGGAUGGCCGCGUUGCAAGACUAAAGACCGCUUUCUAAUCCAUUGAUCUUCGGAUUAAUAUUCUUGACAUCUGGCCUCAAAUCAGGUAGGACUACCCGCUGAACUUAAGCAUAUCAAUAAGCGGAGGA